GACGAACGCUGGCGGCGUGCUUAACACAUGCAAGUCGAACGGUAAGGCCCUUCGGGGUACACGAGUGGCGAACGGGUGAGUAACACGUGGGUGAUCUGCCCUGCACCUCGGGAUAAGCCUGGGAAACUGGGUCUAAUACCGGAUAGGACUCCGGACUGCAUGGUCUGGGGUGGAAAGCUUUUGCGGUGUGGGAUGGGCCCGCGGCCUAUCAGCGUGUUGGUGGGGUGAUGGCCUACCAAGGCGACGACGGGUAGCCGGCCUGAGAGGGUGACCGGCCACACUGGGACUGAGGUACGGCCCAGACUCCUACGGGAGGCAGCAGUGGGGAAUAUUGCACAAUGGGCGCAAGCCUGAUGCAGCGACGCCGCGUGAGGGAUGACGGCCUUCGGGUUGUAAACCUCUUUCAGCAUCGACGAAGCGAAAGUGACGGUAGGUGCAGAAGAAGGACCGGCCAACUACGUGCCAGCCGCCGCGGUAA
rnacentral:rRNA from 1 species